AGUAAAUAGGCAAAGAUCAUUUCUUCCUUUGAAAUCAGGGAUUAACAAAGAAAACUCAGGCAAACAUUGGGCUUCAAACACCUGCUGAUGAAAUCUGUUUUGUCACUGUUAUUGCCAAAGCCAGUCCUCAACCAUGGGUUUAUCAGAGUUGCUGAGAUCUUACUUAAGAACUAAUGCUGCAAGUCGCGCAGAACGCGCCGAAUCAGCCCGCUGCAGACAGGCAGGUCUGCGGACGCCCUAGCAACGUCGCCAGUCGCACGGAACUCGCCGAAUCAGCCCGCGCGCCCUGGCAGCAAUCCACUAGACACCACCCCCCACCCCGCUCCUCGGUACAGCCACCUGGUUCCACAGUACAAAGGUGCAGAGGACACCGGACCACCAGACCACUGUACUGGGAUAAAAUACUUGAGGCUGAAGAAGGUAUGAUUCACCUCGGUCAUGGAACAAAGGCACAGUGAGACUACAAUCAGAUGUGUUCUGCCUGUUCAGUCAGCCACCUGAAGCUGACCCCCGGAGGUGGAGCGUUAGCAGAUGGUCUCCAAAGGCAUUUUCUGGUAAAAGACAAGCUAUGGUCCUCCACCACAAGCUUGUUUCCAAGUCUCAGGGAUGUUCUCAGGUCCAUUAAUAAUACUCUCUUUUUUUGGUAAUAAAUUUGUAAAUUAAUACAAUAAAUCAAGUGUCUCUAUAGCUAUCCUUCAUAUGAUAUGAAAACACUAUGGUAUCUGAAAAUAGGCUCUCUCAGACACUAUGGUGAAAACUUUUAUAAGAAAAAGAAUGAAAUAAAAAUGUGACAGUAUUAACAUUUCAAAUU
rnacentral:lncRNA from 1 species